GCUAGCACGUGGGAGGGGGACUGGGGAUACGGUGGGUGGUGGGGUUUAUACGGAAUUGCGGGGCGGAAGGCGUGGGCGGGCGGGUGUGCAAGCCGGCUGUGAAAGCCCCGGGCUCAACCGGGGAAUGGCAGUCGGGACUGCAAGGCUGGAGUGCGGCAGAGGAGACUGGAAGUCCUGGUGUAGCAGUGAAAUGCGUAGAUAUCAGGAGGAAUACCGAUGGCGAAGGCAGGUCUCUGGGCUGACACUGACGCUCAUGCACGAAAGCGUGGGGAGCAAACAGGAUUAGAUACCCGAGUAGUC
rnacentral:rRNA from 1 species